GCAUUUCUGGUUGGCGACCCAGACGCCUUCGACAUUCUUCAAUGUCUUGAUAGCGCGUUUGACGCCAUUCUGAACGGCGUCUUCAAAACUUUUCGGGGAAGCGGCAAUCGGUGACGCGUGCAACUGACAUGAUCUUCUCCUGACAAGGAAAGACAUAAAUCGAUUUGGCACUUGAGCGCGGGCAGCUUAGGUGCGCAGCCGAGGGCGUCAAGUUGACAGACGCGCGCCUGUGCAGGCGCAGCAUCCCAAUCCGCCUGCCAUGGCAGCGCACA
rnacentral:misc_RNA from 1 species